UAGCUUCCAUUUGCUCUCCACCUCAAACCCUAGCCUCCAUUUGCUCUCCAUCACAAACCCUAGCAUCCAUGGCACCAAAGAGGGCUAGACGAACCGGUGGAAGGCGACCUAGGGUAGCGGCCGACGGUGAGGAACGGAGGGAAGAACCUUCCGCGCCGUCUCCUCCGGUUGCUCCGCCAACCACGACCAUUUCCUGUGCAAAUCGCACAGUGACGACCGGUAGGUACAUAGAUUUUGCAUUUUUAGACAGUGAGGGGUUCUCUAUUGGAGAGAGACUCCGAGCCCAAGGGUGAGAGCACCUUUGUACCCUCAAUACCUCGACCUACCCCGGUCUAGUUAGAGAACUUUUUAGCAAUAUGGCCUUAGGGGACUUAGGGUACAUUGCAUAUGUCCGGGGGACAUUAGUAGAAAUUAAUGAGGACAUCUUGUCCACUAUUUUGCAAAUCCCUAAGGACGGUGAGGCUCCAACCUCACAUCCCUAAAGGAAAA
rnacentral:lncRNA from 1 species